AGCUGCGUCUUUAGGGGUUUGCUUCUUAGCUUCCUUUGGAUUGUUCUUGACUGCGUCUCCUUCCUUCUUAGGGUUCUUACGUUUCUGGGCUUUUGGGGGUUUGCGGAAAUCAGAGUCGUUGAAGCCUGAAGAAGGGAGAGAUGAAGGUAAGCCGAGAGAGGAGGCGAAUGAAGCGAUCUCGGAUGUUGUGAGAGCAUUCAUCUCCUUCGUUGGCUUUGAUUCCGACAUGAUUAGGGUUUAAUCGAUCUCUCUUUUGGGAUUCUACAAAAGCUUUAAGCUGCUGGUUAGGGUUUUAGAAAGAGCACAAGGAAGCAGACGAGAGUGGCAUAAGUGUAAAUUACGACUUUUAGAGCCCAAUCCCGAACUGUAGAGAUUAUUAAGAUUCAAGGCCCAAAUUUGUAAGGACUUAGGAUUGAGGCCCAAACUCUAAAGACUCGGUGAUAGCGUUUUUACCUAUAGGCAGAUACUAAUGCCUUCAUUUCAUCUUGGACAUUCCUGAGUUGACAUUUUAGUGAAGUAGUUUAAUUUUGAAGCAUAUUGUAGAGUGAAAUGAUAUUUAAAUCUUUUUGUUUUACAAGCGGGAUCCCUUGUAAGAAUGCAAAAUCCAAUUACCCAACGAGUUUACUUGUAUGUGGAAGAUUGUGGUUGCACUCGUUUGACACUAAUUCUAAAUUGCAUUGUAUAAUUUCACAGAUGCUCUCAAAGUUUCUCACCACUAAAAUGUAUUAAGAAGAUAAAAAAAAAAGGGUAUGAAAAGGAGAGAGGAAUACUUCAUAUGAGAAAACCAUUUGUAUUUCUAACAAACGAUGAUGUUAUUAAUUUAUUUGGCAUCACUUUAAUGCAAUUGGCACAAAUCUAUAUUAGUUUACAUCACUUUUUUAAAAUUUAUAGUAAAUAUAAGUUUACAUCAUUUAAAUGAUUGACACAAUCACUAAUUUGGAUUAACAUCACUUAUAAAACUGGUACAAUAGUAACAUCAUUUCAAUAAAUGUUGCAAAUUUGACAUCAAAACUAAAAUGAUAUUAACAUAAUUUUAAUUAAAAUAUUAAUAUUGCACGUAAUUCAUUUGUGUCGCUUGAAUAUAUAUGAUUUUGAAAUCUUAUUUCUUAUAAAUUUAAAGUUCAAUAUUAUCAUUGAAUCUAUAUAAAUAAAAUCUGUAUAUUACUAUUAUAAAGAAAAUUUACAUUGCUUUCAGCAGCCGGAGACGAGAUUUCAAGGUUGUCGAAUGUUUUUGGAAUAAAAGAGAAAGGCCAAAAUAUCUUCCCACUUAUUCUAAAGAAAGUAUGACUAUGUAAUACAAUUACGAAGAAUCUAAACCAGAUGGAAUUACAUAUUUUGACAAAAAGUAAACGAAAUAAUAUAUAAAUCAUUCAAUCUAUGGCUUCAAAUCCUCAGUAAGUUAACCUGCAAACGUGCACUCUUGAAUUUUUAUACGUCCUAAAGCUUGAGUUCGAGAUCUUUUGAACACCGUCCUUCUUCGUCCACUUCCAUCGACAUAUCGUUAUGUCUCUGUGGUUUUGAGGGUGUUGCAGGCUGUUGUGAGGGUUGUCCUGCCUCUACUGAUGGACCGACCAUUUGUGGCUUGGGAGGAAGAUGACCACCGUUUUGGUUCACUUGAUACGGAGCUCUAGCCACAGCCCUGAAAAUCAGAUAUUAAACUUGUAAACUAUAACGCAUAUAUCACAACAAUGGAUUCCAACAGAAGCAUCGAAGCAUCACUAUUCUAAUAAGUUGAGCUCAUUAGUUAUACUUUUCUAAACUAGAAAAGGUAAUGGUCUUAAUCUAUGUAUAUACUACGACCAAUUCAGGACAGACACAUGUUCCAGUUUGGUUUACCUGUCUUUUCGUUUAGCAAAGAACCGGUGAAGAGAGGCUCUUCUUGCAAUGCGUUCCACGACUUGAUGUUCCUCUUUUGUUUGACGAUCAUCGUUGUUUCCAGAACUCGUGGGUUCAUUCAGAUCAGGAAUCACAACGUUGCGUUCGUUGUUAAUGUUCAUAUCAAGAUUCUGAGUCUUCUUUGAGUCAACAAGCAAUUGGAUUCUCCCCAACCAUAAUCUCAAAGGCAGUGAUUUUAUCAGCCACCGUCCCAGACUUCUGAGCAGAAAUAACCAUCUUCAUAUCUCCACUCUUCCCUUUCGACGCCACAAAGUCCUCAGCGUACUGCCACAUCAGCCUCUCCCCCAUCUCCCUCUUCACCUCCACCACACCCAUCACAUCCCCCACCGCCACUUUCCUGCCAAAGACCUUCUCCUCCAGCUCCUCCGCGUCGUUAUACCACUCCGAGCUCAGCAAACCCGCUUUCACCAACGGAAGCUUAGGCAAAGCCUUGAACUUUUCGAACCGCUUCGCCUUGAACCCACUGUUCUCGUCCUCAAUCGAUAAAAAAUCAGCCUUUGGCUUAGGGUUCACCGUCUGCUUCGCCGGAGCUGCGUCUUUAGGGGUUUGCUUCUUAGCUUCCUUUGGAUUGUUCUUGACUGCGUCUCCUUCCUUCUUAGGGUUCUUACGUUUCUGGGCUUUUGGGGGUUUGCGGAAAUCAGAGUCGUUGAAGCCUGAAGAAGGGAGAGAUGAAGGUAAGCCGAGAGAGGAGGCGAAUGAAGCGAUCUCGGAUGUUGUGAGAGCAUUCAUCUCCUUCGUUGGCUUUGAUUCCGACAUGAUUAGGGUUUAAUCGAUCUCUCUUUUGGGAUUCUACAAAAGCUUUAAGCUGCUGGUUAGGGUUUUAGAAAGAGCACAAGGAAGCAGACGAGAGUGGCAUAAGUGU
rnacentral:lncRNA from 1 species